rnacentral:sRNA from 1 species
UACAUACUUUGUGAUCGGUUUUCUUUCUUCAGAAGUUAAAUCAAGCAAAUCUCACCAUCCUCAACAAUGGUCCAGAUGGUGAGCCGCGGUGCCCAAGUUACUAUUUACCCACUACUUCCUCUCUCUGGCUCAUUCCCCACAAAUUCAAGUUUUGGCACUGUUCCUCAAAGUUUUCUUCUGGUUACUGGCUAACUUGGUGCCGCCCGCGGAAGGCUAACUGGGAUAAGAUGUUCACAGAAAGACAUGCCGAAUAGGCACCAGAAUGAACUAAAUUUUUGACAGCCCACAUGGGAUGGAAGGAAACGCAACUGUUAGUAGGUGACUUGCAUGCUACACCUACCAACAAGACGAGUUUGUCGGUAUAA